ACGCGGCGCUCGCGCUCUCUCCCGGGCCCCGGGAAGCAGAGACCGGGAGGUGCCGCCGCCGCCGCCCCCUCCUCCCGGCUGCACCCCGGCCCUGUGCUCGCAACAUGCCCGCCGCCGAGCCAAGCGCCGCCCUCCUCCAGGAGCUCGCGGAGGCGACGGCGCUGCGGGCCGCGGGGCCGCGGCUGCGAGGGUAGCGGAGCCGGAGCGGGCACGGAGGCGCCGCGCGGCGGGCGGAGCGGAGGAGGAGCAGCAGGCAUCCUCCGCGGCGCGCCCAUGGCCCCGGAGGUAGGAGAAUGCGAGCGGCACUCCCCGCCGGCCGCCGCCUCCCCCCGCGCCGCCGGCUCGGCGCCCCCCGGAGCUGCUCGCGUCGCCGCCGCCCCCCAGCUGCGGGCGCCCGGCCGCUGGCUGCGCUAGGACCCGCCGCCGGUCGCCGAGGGCGGGUGGGGAGAGAGGAGCGGGAGCGACCGGGAGCCUGGCGCCCGCCCGGGCGCAGCGCGGCAUGGAGCUGUGAGCUCCCGCGCCCGCGCGAGGGUGUCGGCCCGGGGCCCCGCCAUGGCUGGGAAGGACAGUGGGAACCUGAAGACGGUGAGGCUGUGGCGGGACGCCGCCCUGCGCGCCAGGAAGCUGCGGAGCAACCUGCGCCAGCUCACCCUCAGCGCGGCCGGGGGCUGCCCGGGGGUCGGGGCCGACCAGAUCGACUCCCCCGACGCCCCCCAGCUCGUGCUGCCGGCCAACAUCGGGGACAUUGAGGUGCUGAACCUGGGGAACAACGGCCUGGAGGAGGUGCCCGAGGGGCUGGGGUCGGCGCUGGGCAGCCUGCGCGUCCUGGUCCUGCGGAGGAACCGCUUUGCCCGGCUGCCCCCGGCGGUGGCCGAGUUGGGCCACCACCUCACCGAGCUGGACAUGAGCCACAACCGACUGACGGCCCUGGGCGCGGAGGUGGUGAGCGCCCUGCACGAGCUGCGGAAGCUGAACCUCAGCCACAACCAGCUGCCCGCCCUGCCCGCCCAGCUGGGCUCGCUGGCCCACCUGGAGGAGCUGGAUGUCAGCUUUAACCGGCUGGCGCACCUGCCCGACUCCCUCUCCUGCCUCUGCCGCCUGCGCACCCUCGAUGUGGACCACAAUCAGCUCACCGCUUUUCCUGGGCAGCUGCUGCAGCUGGCUGCCCUGGAGGAGCUGGACGUGUCCAGUAACCGGCUCCGAGGCCUACCUGAGGGUAUCAGUGCCCUGCGUGCCCUUAAAAUCCUCUGGCUGAGUGGGGCCGAGCUUGGCACCCUGCCUGAGGGCUUCUGUGAGCUGGCCAGCCUGGAGAGCCUCAUGCUAGACAACAACAGGCUGCAGGCUCUGCCCGCCCAGUUCAGCCAUCUGCAGAGACUCAAAAUGCUCAACCUCUCCUCCAACCUCUUUGAGGAGUUCCCUGCCGCGCUGCUGCCCCUGGCUGGCCUGGAGGAGCUCUACCUUAGCCGCAACCAGCUCACCUCAGUGCCAUCCCUGAUCUCAGGCCUGGGCCGGCUCCUCACCCUGUGGCUGGACAACAACCGGAUCCGCUACCUGCCGGACUCCAUUGUGGAGCUGACGGGCUUGGAGGAGCUCGUGCUGCAGGGCAACCAGAUCGCUGUGCUGCCGGACAACUUUGGCCAGCUCUCCCGGGUGGGCCUGUGGAAGAUCAAGGACAACCCACUGAUCCAGCCCCCCUACGAGGUCUGUAUGAAGGGGAUCCCCUACAUCGCAGCCUACCAGAAGGAGCUGGCCCACUCCCAGCCGGCAGUUCAGCCCCGCCUCAAGCUGCUCCUGAUGGGCCAUAAGGCUGCCGGGAAGACCUUGCUCCGGCACUGCCUCACUGAGGACAGGGUGGAGGCAAGUGAAGGAGGGGACAAGGACAAGGGCUACUCACCUCCACCGCCGCCCGCGAGCAAGGGCAUCGAGGUGACCAGUUGGACAGCCGACGCUUCCCGGGGCCUGCGGUUCAUUGUGUAUGACUUAGCCGGAGAUGAAAGCUACGAGGUGAUCCAGCCCUUCUUCCUCUCCCCGGGGGCCCUUUAUGUGCUGGUGGUGAACUUGGCCACCUACGAGCCGCGGCGAUUUCCUACCACCGUGGGCUCCUUCUUGCAUCGGGUGGGGGCCCGCGUGCCUCACGCGGUGGUGUGCAUUGUGGGCACGCACGCAGACCUGUGUGGGGAGCGGGAGCUGGAGGAAAAGUGUCUGGACAUCCACCGCCAGAUCGCCCUGCAGGAGAAGCGCGAUGCUGAGGGCCUGAGCCGCCUGGCCCAGGUGGUGGACGAGGCGCUGGCCCGCGACUUCGAGCUGCGCUCAGCCAGCCCCCAUGCCGCGUACUAUGGUGUGUCAGACAAGAACCUUCGGCGGCGCAAGGCCCACUUCCAGUACCUGCUCAACCACCGGCUGCAGAUCCUCUCCCCGGUGCUGCCUGUGAGCUGCAGGGACCCCCGCCAGUUACAGCGCCUUCGGGACAAGCUGCUCUCGGUAGCUGAGCACCGGGAAAUCUUCCCCAACUUACACAGAGUCCUGCCCCGGUCCUGGCAGGUGCUGGAGGAACUGCAUUUCCAGCCCCCUCAGGCACAGCGGCUUUGGCUGAGCUGGUGGGACUCGGCACGCCUGGGCCUGCAGGCAGGUCUGACCGAGGACCGGCUGCAGAGCGCCCUGUCCUACCUGCACGAGAGCGGCAAACUGCUCUACUUUGAGGACAGCCCAGCCCUCAAGGAACACGUCUUCCACAACCUCACCCGCCUCAUUGACAUCCUCAAUGUCUUUUUCCAGAGGGAUCCUUCCUUGUUGCUGCAUAAGCUGCUCCUAGGGACCAACGGAGAGGGCGAGGGAGACGGGGAAAGCUCCCUCGUAAUGGCACUGCCACCGCCCAGCCAGGACCUGCUCCGGGCCACCCAGCUCCAUCAUUACGUGGAGGGCUUUCUGCUUCACGGGCUCUUGCCGGCCCAUGUCAUUCGGUUGCUGCUUAAGCCUCACGUCCAGGCCCAGCAGGAUUUGCAACUGCUGCUGGAGCUGCUGGAGAAGAUGGGACUCUGCUACUGCCUCAAUAAACCCAAGGGCAAGCCUCUGAAUGGGUCCACGGCCUGGUACAAGUUCCCCUGCUACGUGCAGAACGAGGUGCCCCAUGCAGAGGCCUGGAUUAACGGGACCAACCUGGCCGGGCAGUCUUUUGUGGCUGAGCAGUUGCAGAUUGAAUAUAGUUUUCCCUUUACCUUCCCACCUGGGUUGUUUGCACGCUACAGCGUCCAGAUCAACAGCCACGUGGUGCAGAGGUCGGACGGGAAACUUCAGAUCUUUGCAUAUCGAGGGAAAGUUCCUGUGGUGGUGAGCUACAGACCCGCCAAGGGGGUCCUGCAGCCAGAUACUCUCUCCAUCGCCAGCCAUGCAUCAUUACCAAACAUAUGGACGGCAUGGCAAGCCAUAACCCCCUUGGUGGAAGAACUGAAUGUCCUACUUCAGGAAUGGCCUGGACUGCACUACACCGUGCACAUUCUCUGUUCUAAGUGCCUUAAGAGAGGGUCGCCCAAUCCACACGCUUUCCCGGGUAAGUGGAGAGAGGGAUGUGCGUCUUCUGUGCUGUGUUUUGCAAUGCAUUUCUUUAGAAGAUUUUUGUUUUUCCUUUGUAAGAUGUUUAACCUCACAGGCUUUCCCAGGAAAGCUCAAGGGGAGCUGCUGAGUCAGCCCAGACCGGAAGGAGUGGCCGAGAUCAUUUGCCCCAAGAACGGCAGUGAGCGAGUGAAUGUUGCCUUGGUUUACCCACCUACACCGACUGUGAUCAGCCCCUGUUCCAAUAUUAAGAACUAAACAGUGAAACCACUUUUCAACUGAGAUGAAAUGCAUUCUUACCACAAAACUUGUCUUUUUGGAGCAGAUCUGGUAUCUUGGGUGCUGUCACUUCAGCAAAGAAGAACGUUGGUGAAAAGCACAGAAACCAGUGACCUUUAUGGCUGUGGAAUUUCCGUGAAGAGACUCACCUGGACCAUGUUUCGUACCUGGUAACCCUCCACACUCCCUGUGUGUCGUGAACUUGAGCUCACGGCUCAGGGUGCUCUCAGAGGAGGGAGCCCGCCUGGCCUGCCCACGAGGUGGGGAGGGGCCGGGGGAGGUCGGGAGGGAGAAUAUAGAGCAAGUGUUUUACAACCUAAACCUCAGAACUGUGAUCCUCCAAGGAGAGCGCUACUUGAAGAAAAGAAAAGACAAAAAAAAAAAAGUUGAAUGGCUUCUCAGGGAUUUUGUUUUCUGUGCACAUAUAAGCCAUAGUUCCAGCGCAGGUGGCAGUAUUUAGAGCACUCAGAUUUCAGUUCUGGUCAAUGUGAACGAGGGCGCGCCUGACCAUUCAUUGCUGUUCCGCAACUAGUGUAAAAUAUGUACAUGUUUAUCUUUAUUUUUAUAAUAUGCAAAGACAUUUAAAUUUAUACAGUUGGAAGCUUCUAGCGUUAGUUAACACUGGGUGCAAUAUUCGCAUGAGAACUGUGCCAAGACGGGGCUGACUGCUUCUUUUAGCAUAAGACCUUUCUGUUCAUUCUUUACUCUGUAAUCCUUGGCAGAUUAAAAAACGAAAAAGAGACCUGUCUGCCCAUGGGGUAAGGGUUGGCUUGUAGAGGUUGCCAGUAGUCUGCAAGGUGCACGCAGGCACCGACGCCUCUCCUUCUGACGAAAGGCCCUGCCUGUGAACCGCUGGGCAGGGUGUGGGGUUGUUCCUUUUCGCUGCCACCUGUCACUACUGCCGAGCACAGUGUUCCUCGCUGACCGUUUGUGGUCACUGGUGAUGCACCGAUGGAGGUCUGGGGUUAGGGUUCUUUAGCAGGAGGCCGAAGCGUUAGCGAGUCCAUUGAAAACCUGAGUCUUUCUAUUAAAAAAAAAUUUUUUUUUUGAUUUCAGAGAGGAAGGGAGAGAGAGAAACAUCAGUGAUGCAACAGAAUCAUUGAUCUGAUCCUCCUGCAUCCCCCCUACUAGGGAUGAAGCCCGCAACCCGGGCAUGUGCCCUGCUCGGGAAUAGAACCAUGACCUCCUGGUUCAUGGGUCGGUGCUCAACCACUGAGCCACACUGGCAGGGCCCGAGUCUUUCAACAGCUUAAGAUAAUCAGGAGUCAGUUCUGAAACACUCAGAGAGCUCUCAGAGUGAGUGCUCUUUUUUCUAGGACAGAGUCUGUGAAAUUUAGCAGAGCACUUGGCAAGCCUCCACAUCUGGCUGUCAGGCCUUCAGAUAGUCAAUGGCCUAAUUGGAGAGCAUAAUCCCCCAUUGGUUAUUUAUAAAUACAGAGGCUCUGACUGGUCGGUCUUCUGCCAAGAACUAGGAAAACUUGUUUUAAAAAUCUCCACAAAGCAAAACGUAAGAAGCAAACCAAACAAAUUGCUGUCCCUUCGAUUCCCAGCUAGGGCCAAGCAGCAGUAACACCUUCUCGUCUGAGGGAUGUGAGGGACCAUUUACAUCUGCCGCCUCUGCGUGCUGAUCGAAAGUGUGCAAGACUGUUCUCACCCGUGUGAGGCAGGAAAAGCGAGUCCGCUGGUCGUAUUCUUUCACAAAGUAUUAACUCUUGGAAUGCCACGGUCCACAAAGUGUCAACAAGCAAGUGGCUGCAUCACAGAAAAUCACGAAUCAAUUUUUGUAGACUCUUUUGUGCCCCAGGAGUUAACUUGACCAAUUCCAGAAUCUCCAGUUAAACAAGGGUGAUUUCUGAUGAUCAGAAAACCACGUGGAAUCAGACUGUCCAUUUUUAAAUACUUGAAUAUGACACCUCAAAAUUGAGAUUUUGCUCUCUUGAGAACAGUCACAAAAAUAGUCUGGUUGAGCCUUUUGUCACAGUUCUCGUGUGUGUGCAUGGGCGUGUGUGUGUAUGUGUCAACUGAAUGCUAAUGGUUAAUUGCUUUGUGGACCGUUGAAUCGUAAAAGUUUUUAAUUGGCACGAGACAGUUCCUAAAAUGUCAAAUUAACGGAUUUUGCCCCGUCUUUUGUAAAGACUCUUAAGUGUGUGACUUUGAGCUAAUUCUCCUGGGACCAUAUUAAAUGAAAAAAAAAAAAUGCCCCUUUGGGUGACAUACCCUGAAGAGUGUGUGCUGUUAUUAUGAACAUAAAUGUCCACGUUCUUAAUAUCAGUUUUUCACCAAGUGAUGUUUUGUGCUGUCAUCCGAACCCUAGAGAAGCAGAGUAAGAAGAAAUCUUGCGGUCACAUGUGUUUAAGUAAAAAGACCAUGCAGUCGAGGGUCAUGUGACCGAAAGCAGCUCUAGAAAAGCUUGAGACCUUGCCCCAGGGUGGGGGAGGGGUGAAGAUACAGAAAACACUCUGCUCUCCGGGACUCCGGGAACUUGCACCCUCUGUGCAGGAAGUCCUUUCUCCUUCCACACCUGGGAAGACUCAGCCAGCGGAGGCGACAGGCAGGUCCCUAAGCACACGGGGAGUCUUCCCGCCAAGUAGUCCCUGGCCCCCCAAAGAAACACCCUCCACGCUGGUUAUGGUUUCUAUCCCUGCAACUCGCAGUAUCAGAACCGCUUCCUGGAAUGGUAACGUGCUGCCGGGAUUAAUGUUCUUCCCCUCCUAAGAAAAAAUGACAGUGCUCGUAUUUGACACUUGUGUGAUGGCCUCCUCUGACUGAGAAACAUGGAAAGGGCUUGGUGGCAUUCCUGAUGGGUGAUGGGAUGUGUGUUAUUUUUCAUGCCACAGUUUGUGAAUUGUAAUUGCGGUUUCCUAUUUAAUUGUAACCGGGCAGAAAUUUAAAAAAAAAAAAGUUCAAUAAAAAUACAAAUGUUUAAGCAA